CCCGCCAAAGACAACAUAAAUAAAUACCGCCUUGGUUAAAUACAAAAAUGUCGAGCAAGAUCCUGAAGGUCGUGGUGACUGGUGCCAGCAGUGAGAUCGGCUUGACCAUCUGCUACCUGCUGGCCAAAGGUGACGUGUACGGCCUGACACAGAUGAUGGACCUCGUGCUCGUGGAGAACAGGUCAAGGAUGAAGCAGCUUCGGGGCGCGCUCAGCGAGCUAGGGAUGAGCGACCUGAGGCUGGUGAGGAACUUCGUAUCCACAGACAAUCUCCACCAGGCUUUUACAGACGCUGACGUCAUCAUCUUGUCGGGCGGGCUGUACGCGGCGCCUGGCUACACGCGCAAUGACGUCAUCGGUGUGAACGCGUUAGAGUUCAAGGAGGUUGGUCUGGUCCUGUCAAAAGUGGCCAAGGACAGCGUAAAGAUCUUAAUGGUGGUGGAGCCGCAGAAUAUCAACUUGAUGGUGCUGAGCUAUUUUGCCCCAAGCAUAAAACCCGCCAACCUGACCGGGUUGUCGCGGGUUGACCACAACAGAGCCCAGUCUAUGAUUGCCCGGAUGUUGAACAUCUCAGUGGACAAGGUGUCUCACCUGACUAUGUGGGGGAACAGGUCCCUCAAGAUAUUCCCCGACAUCCGCCAUGCUGUGGUCGAGGUGUGUGGGCGGGUACUUCCGGCCUACGAGGCCAUCAAGGAUGAUUUUUUUCUCAAGUACAAGUUUACAGAGCUGCUUCAGAACAGGGAGGCUGACAUUAUCAAGAAGCGCAAGACGACCUACUGUUCCAUGACUGUGGCCACAGCAGCUGUGCAGCACCUGCGGGACUGGACGCUGGGCACCAAGAAGGACGACUGGACCUCCAUGAUAGUCCUCUCUGACGGCAGCUACGGCAUCGAUAAAGGUCUGGCCUACAGUUUCCCAGUGCAAGUGACGUCACAGGGGGAGUGGGAGAUUGUCCAGGGUCUGGACAUCAACUAUUACGAGAGGGAGAAGUUGGAUGAACGUGUCAACGAGAUCCGGGUGGAGCGGAUGUUCGCCUACAGUAUCCUAGAGCUGCCCGAGGCCAAGCAGGAGGUGGAGAAGGACGACGAGUGUGCCGUGGAUCAGGCCCGGGCCACCAAGUGGAGCUUCGGCCACGCCGACCCCAUCCCGUGCAGCAUCCUGGGGCCACUAGAGCAGGACAGGCUGGGCAGUCUGGACAGAAAUCGGUAUAGCGAGGUACCCUCCUUACCUCCCUUGAAACGGUUGUCAUGACAACGUGUCGCUCGGUUGGUGGCCAAGAUGGCGGCUGGCGUAUUUGUAUUUGUUGAACCAUCGAACCAACAGGCGGACCGUCUGGAAAUCCACAUGUUGAUUGGAAGUCAUUGAUGAGAGACAUCGCUCAAAGAUAGACAUUGUCAAACCAAAGACAUCGUGGAAUCAGAUAGACAUCAUAGAAUCAGACAUCGUGACAUCAAAGAUGUAUACCAUGACAUCAAAUAGACACAUCAAGACAU